rnacentral:misc_RNA from 1 species
AUAUAUAUCAACCUCUUCAGUCUUUUUGCUUGUUGAGCGUUGGAUGUGGGGGUUAUUUUUUGCUGGACUCUUUUUGAGGUCAGCUCCCCUAAAAUACAUUAGCGAAACAAUUUGGUUACUGCUCAUUGGUGUGAUAAUUAUCUACGCUAUUGACGGUGAAUCGCAGUUCAGCUUCUAAAUGUCCAUUGGUUUGGACAAACCACUUUUCAUUA